GCACAGAGGGGCUAAGCAUCUUUAUUAGUCAGAGUUUUCCAGAGAAACAGAACCAAUAGGAUAGAUAAAUUGUUUGAUAAAUAGAUAGAUUGAUUGAUUAUAGGAACUGGCUCACGCAAUUACAGAAGCUAAGAAGUCCCACGAUCUGUCAUCUGUAAGCUAGAGAACCAGAAGACUGGCGGCAUAAUUCAGUCUGAGUCCAAGUCCCAAGGCCUAAGAGUGGGUGGGUGGGGUGGGGAUGGGGGCCUAAGUACUUUUCCGAGGCCCAAGGCCUGAGAACCAGGAGUGCCAAUGUCCACGGGCAGGAGAAGAUGAAUGUCCUAGCUCAAACAGAAAAUAAAUUCUCCCUUUCCCCUGCCUUUCAUUCUAUUCAGGCCCUCAGUGGACUGGAUGGUGCCCACCUGCUCUGGUGAGGGUGGUCUUCUCACUCACUUGAUUGAUUGAAAUGCUGAUCUCUUCCAGAAACACCCUCACAGAUACACGCAGAAAUAGUUUUAUCAGCUAUCUGAGCAUUCCUUAGCCCAGUCAAGCUGAUACAUAAAAUCAACCAUCACAGCACCUGGGUGAUUCCCCAGGUGAUCACUGGCGAAGCUGCCAUUUGAACCCAGGAAGUCUGGCUCUAUAGAAUCUGUGUUCACAGCCACUCCACUCCACUGCCUAUGAAUGUGGAAAGUUAGCAAAGAGAAGAGCCGCGGGUCAAAGCCAGGUCUGUAGACCACCUGUGCCUGAGCUUAGCCAUUGUGCUGUGAUACCUGCCCUGCCCUAUCUGAGAUACUUUUCCAGGUUAGGGAUUCCAAGCAGAACUCCAAGCCUCUAGUUCUCUACCUGCCAAGGCAGUGAGUCCAUUCUUCCUGGGCUUCUCUUCCUCUAAACAGGCUAGAAGCCUUUCGGGGUUUCUCCCACCUGUCUUGCUUACCUGGGCCUGCCCUGUCAUGGAGCUUACCAGUCCUCCCAGCCUUCCGGUCAGAUAUGAGCUCCUGCUAGACCCCUGGGUUGUGAAUCUCUGACUAUGGAGCCAUCCAUAGUUCAUUUGGGGAGUUCUGGACCCUUUCCGAGGUUUGUGCCCAUAGACAGAAUCUGAGCUCUCUUUUCUUGGUCUGGUUUUGCACUCAGCUUUCCUAAAAUCAGGAGCCCUUGUCCACUGACAAGGGUCUGGCUCUCCUUCUCUUCUGAAGCUUCUGGGCCACUUUUUCCCUUGCCCUACCCCUGCUUCACUUCACCCAUCAGUUCCUCCUAAGGUCACAUAAUCAGUCUGAACCAUGGUGCCCUGAUCACUCCCCACCCUCCUGAGCGAAGCCCUGGGUGGCACCAAGCCCACUGGGAAAAAGGCCAUGUUGAAUGGAAGCAGCUGUGGCAGCUGCCUCCUGUACCUCAUCCUGCACAGCUGGGCCCAGGUCGGCCUGACCCAGAGUGGCACUGUGGCUUAGCUGAGCACUUGAUGGCCAAGGGUAUCCUGGCAGAGUCAGACAAGAGGAGGCUUCCCCAGUAUCCUCUAGAGGCAGCACAAAGAAGGGGCCAGACAGAUGGCACUCUCCAGGCCUCCUUUGGAUCCUGCUCCAUGACCUUGGACAGCUGACCUAAUCCAUGUCCCAGCUUCGCCUUCUGGAAAAUGGGGGACAUGGUAAACACCUCCAGGGCAGCUGCAAAGAUUAAACCCUGACUGCUUGGCAGAAGGUGAAAGGACUCUUGCAGGUCUCUUUCAGCUCCACCAGCUAAGGAUUCUGUGAAAACCAUGGAGGGAGUCUGUGGUCAGGCUGCAUAAUGUGGGCAUCACAUUUCCUGAAAAAACAAAAGACAAGAGGUCACUGACCAUUGCCAUUUGUGGCACUCUUCAAGAGGAAGCUCUAGCUUCAUCCAAAAAUACCUCUGUGCAGGAGUCGGGGUGCCACUGCAGAGCCUGCCCUGGAGUUAAGCAUUGUCCUGUCUAGCCAUCUCAUUUGAAAAGAAAUGUGUCCUGUCUUAGGAAAGGCAGCAACACAGCAAUAGUGGCACCUAUGUGGGAGAGAAGCACAGGACUGAAAGUCAGGAUAAGGCACAAAGGGGGGCUGAGAUCAGCCUGGAAGACAAACCUCACCAACUCCCAAGGUGGCUGAGGGCCAGCUUGGGGUGGCCACACACCUUGGCAAAGUACUUCAUACUUCAUAUGGGCAGUACUUGACUGUUCACAAAGCCCCUUUUGACCUAUGCACUCCUCAAACCUCGUAACUCUAGGAGAUAGCUUUAUUUAGGCCCACUUCACAGAUGAAGAAACUCAGGACGAGACAAAGUGACUCCCCUGAUGUCAACAGUGUACCAGCGGCAGAUCCAGGGCUUGGAUCCAGCUCUGCCCCCUGCAUUGCUCACUGCCUGGACCUACCAAGAAGAAGCUGUGUCCAGCUGCCCAAUCCCAGUGCCAUUGCAUCCCCUAUGGGGAAAACUUGAAGGAGUCCAAAGGCCGUAGGCCAGCAACCAUGUGUCUACACCACAAGUAGUUAGGAUUCUCCAGGUCCAGUUAGAGGCCUACGUCCCUGGGAAAGUUCUGGGUGCCAACGAGAGAAAUAAAAAAUGCAGUGAGUGGUCCAGCUCCAGCCACCUCCUUCUCCCUCUGUCUUUCCCUUAGGGAAACCUCAGAUAGUUUCCAAGAGAAGAGUAAUGAAUGAACACCUUCUAAGACAGUGGAUUACCCCAGGCUGUCAGGACCACACUGGCAGCAGGGCUAGAAGAAGAGCCCAUAAUGGAGUCAGCCAAGUCACUAGAAAGGAUACAGGGACAUAGGAGACUGCCAGCCUCACCCCAAUCAGGGGUCCUCCUGGGCUCAUGGGAAUGGCCACCUCCUUCCUCCUCCCUCCUUUCUGUAUCUCUGGCCUAUGCUGAACACCCUAUAGCAGAACCUACACCCCACACCCUAUGCAUUCCUGACACCCUACAGCAGAAGCACCAGAGGCUGGGGGCCAGCAUGCUGUGUCUAGGGUAUGGGGACUGAAGGACAGGUAAGACCUCCACAGAGUAGACCUGUGCCCCAGCCCUGGAGAAAGCAGCAGCAGCUCCGGAGGGCAGGCCUGAUGCCGGGGAUGGAAGGAGGUGACUGGCCAAGCACUAUGACCUGACAUUUUCUGGGCGAGCAGUGGCUUAUAUGAGUUCCGUGUGUUAUGGGUCUGUCUGUGGCGUCCAUCUGUAAGAGGAGGGUCUUAGUCUCUAGGAGCUGCACAGCUUCGGGAUCCAUGUGAUCUUCCUAAGGCAAGAAAGAAGAAUCCCUCCCCUUCAGGUCAAAGGCCUUGCCUUGCCAGUGAAGUCCAGAUGGACAAGUCCAGUACCGGGCGGUGCACAGUGGAGAGGGCAACCACUAUGUUGCAGAGAUCAGUGAUGUCAUGGGUAUGCCCACACAUGUGUGGGGUGUGUCUGCAGGGGUGAUGCAUGGGGAUAGGUCAGCUGUCCGGGGAAGCCCUGAAGUGUGUCAAGGAAUGGGGCUGUGUGUGUCUCAUUCAUCCCCCAGUGCCAACCACAGUGCAUGGGAAGCAUUAGCCUGCACCAUCGCCUAACUGUGUGACCCUGGGCAAGUUACUUACCCUCUCUUGCUUCAGAUUCCUCUUCUGUAAAAUGGAGCUGGUGCUGGGGUUGUGGGGAGGAUUUGAUGAGACAGUGAGAGGGUGCAGUACGCUUUCCUUACCAAUGUCCCUUGUGCCUACAGAGCAUCAGGAAACAUGGAGCCUG
rnacentral:lncRNA from 1 species